UACGUAGGGUGCAAGCGUUGUCCGGAAUUAUUGGGCGUAAAGAGCUCGUAGGCGGUUUGUCGCGUCGAAUGUGAAAACCCGGGGCUCAACCCCGGGCCUGCAUUCGAUACGGGCAGACUAGAGUUCGGUAGGGGAGUCUGGAAUUCCUGGUGUAGCGGUGAAAUGUGUAGAGAUCGGGAGGAACACCGGUGGCGAAGGCGGGUCUCUGGGCAUUCCCUGACGCUGAGGCGCGAAAGCGUGGG
rnacentral:rRNA from 1 species